UACGUAGGGGGCAAGCGUUGUCCGGAAUCAUUGGGCGUAAAGAGCGUGUAGGCGGUUCGGUAAGUCGGCUGUGAAAGUCCAGGGCUCAACCCUGGGAUGCCGGUCGAUACUGCCGGACUAGAGUUCGGUAGGGGAGACUGGAAUUCCUGGUGUAGCGGUGAAAUGCGCAGAUAUCAGGAGGAACACCGGUGGCGAAGGCGGGUCUCUGGGCCGAAACUGACGCUGAGGAGCGAAAGCGUGGGGAGCGAACAGG
rnacentral:rRNA from 1 species